CAGAAUGGAGGGAGAGAGAGAGCGUACGAGAAAUCAAGGGUUAUGCUUUCCUUUCCUCAAAUCUGAAUUGGUUUCCUUUAAACACGUGACACACCUCAUCACUUUCUAGGUUUUCUUAAUCGCCUCUUCCCAUCGUAGAAACCUAAUUCCAUAACCGUAUACCACAUCUACCUUCAGAAACCAAUUCCUCAUGGAAAUCAUACAGUCCUCUCAAAAUCAAACUCAAGUCUAGGUUUUGAACUUCACGGAGUUUGAGUAUGCACACCAACUGUUUGACGAAAUGCUUCAACCAGUUUGGGGCUGAAAUGUUUUGCAUUCAGUCUAAUUCCUUUUCGUAAGAUGUUCUUGUUGCUGUUGUUUUGAGCUGCUCUGUGAGAAAUAACUUUGGAUGAAUGAGGUCCUGCUACAUCAGAUUUGAAAGCUUUCUUACUCAUCAUUAACAGACAGUUGAACUGUCGAAAAAGGUCAAAAGACGCUUCAGAUGUAUUACCUUGGUUUUUUAAAAAGCCGAAAACUUGAGGAGAAAAUGGAAGUUGUAAAUGAACAAGAUUCUCAUCAUCCACUCCCUCCUAUUCGUGCUUCAACUCCUCAACAUAUGACGUUUUUUUUUUGCUUAUUCUGAGCUCAAUUUUGUUAGCAUUGCUGUGGCGUACGAACGACCACACCCAUGAAAGGAAGUCCCGGAUCUGGUGGUGACGCGGCUAAGGUUCCGUCGUUGGAGUUGUGACUGUGGCGUACGAACGGGUAUUCAGGUCAACGGUGAUGGUUGUGGCAGCAAGAUAAAAACAUACACGUUAAAGCUUUCUAUGUGUUCAUUUGGUAUAUAUUUUUGAGUGUUUUUAGCUUCUAAACUUUUAAUUAUUUGUGAUGUGUAGGUUGGAAUACCCUGGAUUGGACCUGAGCAUAGCUUUUUGAAAGAUCUAGGUCGUACCGAAUAGUAUAUCAUCACUGAUGAAGAAGCAUUGGAAGGAAAAUCCUACAACAAUAAUGGUCCUUCUUACAGUAUAUGGUCAUGUUCUUGCUGAAUGUUUAAAAGAUGAAAGCACACCUCUAAGGCUCGCAGCUGAAGUGUGACACUAGGAGAUGAAGAGGCACUAUCCACUACCGAAGUGUUCUUUACAAGAUGGUUGCUUGGUUGGCCUCCCUAUUUAAAGAGCGCAUCAUAUACGUGAUGCGCUCGCAUCACGCAUCGCGCAUCAGAUUUUUCGACAAAACGCAUGCGCAUCACACUAUUUAAGAAGCUGCCCAUUCCCAAACCCGCAGUAUAAAUACCCGACGUUAGUGGUUAUUGUUGUUCAGUCAAUUCAAUCAAUCGUCGUCAAAAGCUUUCACAUCUCUCUGACAGAUUAGCGACCGCAAUACACUCAUAACCGCUUUCCGACUACUCUCAUGGCUACAAAAGUGUAUAUUGUACUAUACGCAGCAACAGCUACAACAUUCACCUUCACAGUUCUGCUGGUUUCUGCCAGCAAAAAAACCACAGGCUAUGGCUUCUCAAGAUGAUGGACCAUCCGAGAGCAGGAAAACGGACCCUGGAUGGAAGUACAAUCAUCUGAGGAAUCCUAAUGAUAAAAAUGCCGUUUCAUGCAACUUUUGCAAGAAGAUCACAAAAGGUGGAAAUUUUUCGUGCUAAACUACACCAAAUUGGAGGCAACAGAAACAUCAAGUCAUGUACAAGGUGUCCACAGGAGGUUAAAGACGAGUUGAAGGCGUAUGUUGCGAGCCAAAAGGCCAAGAAAACAAAUGAUGGGUUGGCUGAUUUGGCUGAUGAACAGGAGGAUGAUGAAGUUAUAGAGAUACCUGCUCAUCAAAACAAGAGGCAGAAGACGACUAAUGUGAAGGGGCCAUUAGAUGUGAUGUUUUCAAAAGGUAAAGGAAAACAAGUUCAAACAAGCAUCAAGGAUGCUUGUAAUAAAGAGCUCCGAGCCCAAACAUUACAGUCCAUUGCAGCGUUUUUCUACCAGGCUGGGGUUGCAUUUAAUGUGGCUAAUAUGGACUGCUUUAAAGAGAUGCUUGCGGCUGUUGGGAACUAUGGGCCGCAUUUAAAGCCUCCAUCAUUCCAUGAGCUUCGCGUUCCGUUACUAAAAAAUGAGGUACAACAUGUGGAGAAGUGGGUCGAAACUCAUAGAACUGAGUGGAUUAAGUACGGUUGUUCAGUAAUGUCGGAUGGAUGGACAGAUAGGAAGCAAAGAAUGUUGAUUAACUUUCUUGUCAACGGUUCUAAAGGAACGGUGUUUAUGGAGUCUGUUGAUGCAUCGUCGUAUAUGAAGACUGGUGAAAAGGUUUUUGAGCUCCUAGAUGGGUUUAUGGAAAGGAUUGGGGAACAAAAUGUUGUUCAGGUUAUUACCGACAAUGGGGCCAACUUUAAGCUAGCAGGUAAAAUGUUAAUGGAAAAGCGGAAAAUCUAUUUUGGACACCAUGUGCAGCGCACUGCUUGGAUCUAAUGCUAGAAGAUAUCGGUAAGAUUCCGGAUGUGAAAAAAACUAUUGAACAAGCUAUCUUCGUUGUUGGUUAUAUUUAUAACCAUAGUUUUGUCUUGAACUUAAUGAGGGAGUUCACUAAAAACAACGAGCUAACAAGGAGUGGAGUAACAAGGUUUGCAACCACGUUUCUUACAUUACAAAGCUUGCAAAAACAAAAAUGCACUUCGAAAUAUGUUUGCUAGCGAACAGUGGAUGACAAGUAAACGGGAUGAAGAACGAAAGGGUGCAAGAGCGAAUGACAUUGUUUUUACCCCAACUUUCUGGAACAAUGUUCCGUUCACUCUGAAAAUCAUGGGUCCUCUUGUUCGAGUGCUUAGAAUUGUCGACAAUGAGAAAAAACCCGCGAUGGGUUACGUGUACGAAGGUAUGGAACGAGCAAAAACUGCAAUUGCAGCAGCUUUAGGAGGAGAAGAUAAUGAAGAUUACAUUGUUGUGUCGGGAAUUAUUGACAAGAGAUGGAACUGCCAACUUCACCAUCCCUUGCACGCAGCGGGUUACUAUCUUAACCCAGAGUUUUAUUGCUACAAUGUGGACAUUGAAAGCGACAAAGAAGUGUCCCUUGGACUACAUGAAUGUAUUGACAAGCUUGAGCGAAACAAGGACACACAAGAUAAGAUUAACGUUGAGUUGAUUCAUUGGGUGAACCAGUCUGGAUUUUUUAGUCUAGAAACAGCAAAGCGACAACAUGCUGAAUGGUGGAAGUUGUAUGGGAAAGGCACUCCAAAUUUGCAACAACUAGCUAUUAGAGUGCUAAGUUUAACGUGCAGUUCAUCCGGGUGUGAACGAAACUGGAGCACAUUUGAGCAUAUCCACUCAAAGAAGAGGAAUCGUCUAGAGCAUAAAAAACUACAUGAUCUCGUCUAUGUUAAAUACAAUAACAUGCUAAAGAAUAGACUCGAUGUGGAUGCGGCAUAUGAUCCCAUUUCAUUGACUGAUAUUGAUGAUAGCAAUGAAUGGUUAGUAGGAAAGAUGGGUGAAGACAGGGUUUUUACUGAUGAUGGAGAUUUGGUUUGGGAUGUUGUAGGAGAAGCGAGCGGAGCAGGGGAGCGUAUACACAAUACAAGAUCUUCACAGCCGGCUGCUUUACAGCCAUCAGCUUCGAGGGCAUCUGUUUCAAGGCCGUCUGCUUCAAGGCGUUCAACUUCAAGGCCUUCUAGUUCAAGAAGAUUAGUUGAUGAAGAUUCCGAAGAAGAACAAGAGGAAGAACAAGUGAAUGCUGCUGCUGGAAAAGGCAAGGCAAUUGCUGUACUACUCUAUGUAUGGACAUGUGGAGAAGCUAGCUGAAGAAAUCAAGAAAGGAGGUGCAUCUGUUGACGGUGUUGAAGCCAAAUUAUGGCAGGUCCCAAAGACAUUGCAUGAAGACGUGCUUGGAAAAAUGAGUGCACCACCAAAGAGCGAUGUACCCGUAAUCACACCAAAUGAACUCUCUGAAGCAGAUGGAUUUAUUUUCGGGUUCCCCACAAGAUUCGGUAUGAUGUCUGCUCAAUUCAAAGCCUUUUUUGAUUCCACUGGUGGUCUUUGGAGAACCCAACAGCUCGCCGGCAAACCAGCUGGCAUCUUCUAUAGCACUGGAUCUCAAGGUGGUGGUCAAGAAACUACCGCUUUGACUGCGAUAACUCAACUGGUUCACCAUGGAAUGAUAUUUUUACCAAUUGGAUACACAUUCGGGGCUGGCAUGUUUGAAAUGGAAAAAGUCAAAGGUGGAAGUCCUUACGGUGCAGGAACUUACGCAGCCGAUGGGUCUAGACAACCAUCUGAACUCGAGCUCGAACAAGCGUUUCACCAGGGAAAACACAUUGCCCCAGUUGCUAAGAAACUUAAGGGAGUUGCAUGAUUUCACCAUCUCAGAAAAUACAAAAAACCAUACCAUAAUCUCAAGAUUGUUUGUUUUACCUUUAAAGUUUCAUAUCUCUAUUUUUCUAUUAUGUGAUUGCAAAAGGGUGAUUGUUACUUUUAUAAACACACAAUAGUAUGUUUUCAUGCU